rnacentral:ncRNA from 7 species
AACCCGUAGAUCCGAACUUGUGUU